rnacentral:siRNA from 1 species
UAAAACGCAUGUUAAAUCAUA